rnacentral:lncRNA from 1 species
CAUGAAACGGGCAUCACAAAUUAUAAAAAUAUGAUGAUCCCUUUCUUCCCCUUCCAUUUCCAGCACACCAUUUAUGUACCUCUGUUUCUAUCUUUCGUAAACACUUGUUGUUUGCAUACAGUCACACCCUCGUAACUGAUAGAAUAGCAACAUAAAUAAAACUAUAAAGGAAAUAGGGAGAAGAAAAUUCAAAGAUUACAGAAACAUUUAGGUUUGGACUAAUGCUUGGCCUUUCCACAAAGCAGAGCAUAGUGUGGAAUGUCGGUCUCUAUAUUUGGACUCUUCUCGUCGUUUCGAACUCUAACAUAGAACUCUUGAAUUCGCAGACCUCAAAUUCAACAGCCCUUUGAUGUCCAAACUCCAAAGACACUAAAUCGCUCUCCAAGAAUAUGGUUACGCCUAUAUACCUAAAACUAAACAAAAGAAUGCAUGUGUUAUAUUAUUAACAUAAAUGCCUAAACAUGAAAACAACUAUACACACACACACUGACACACAUGUAUAUAUACAUAAAUAUGUGCAUGCAUGUAUAUAUGUAUGCAUAUAUGCAGGGAGCAGAGCAAAUAAAUCAUCAGUAUCAACAUCUGUAUCCAAGAUAAUCCGGCGAGGCAGCCCCUCCACAUAAUCUUCGCUACUACAAAUCAAUCCAACCAUCACAACAAUGCAUAAACACAUACACACACUGCUCCUUCAUGCAAAACUCAUUCAAAAUAAAUGCUAAAAAAGACUUCAAAUGUUAACAAUAAAAUAAUUGCAACAUUUCUUCAUACCAAUUUAAUUUUCACUGUAUAAUUUCAUAAUAUAUUUCAUCAGACUCAAUUUCGAAAAUGAUUAAUUGAACUUUAACAAAUAAAAAAGCCAAACAAAACUUCAAAUCCUAAAAUCACAAAAUUCAAACCUGGGGCGAGGAAUUUUUAAGUAAAAGGAUUGACGCAGAGGCUUUGGCAACAAUUCAGGUAGAUAAAUUGUGAGAAUUUGGGAUCACCUCGACCAGGUGGGGUCACAAUCCGAAAUUUUACUCGCACGUUUGUUUUCUUCGUAAUGGAUUGAAUCCAGACGAAGAAGAAGAAAAUAAAAUAAAAUCAUGUACUGAUAAAAAUCUGGAGAAAAGAGAAGGAAUGGACUUAUGCUGAUUUGAGGCAUGCUUGGAAGAGGGAUUGAGCGAUUUUUGAGAAGAAAAAUUGUAGGAGUUUCACUAUUAGUUGAGUGAUUGGACCAUUGUGAAG